rnacentral:rRNA from 1 species
UACGAAGGGGGCUAGCGUUGUUCGGAAUUACUGGGCGUAAAGCGUGCGCAGGCGGUUAUGUAAGACAGAUGUGAAAUGCCCGGGCUUAACCUGGGAACUGCGUUUGAAACUACAGGGCUAGAGUAUGGGAGAGGGAGGUAGAAUUCCACGUGUAGCAGUGAAAUGCGUAGAGAUGUGGAGGAAUACCAAUGGCGAAGGCAGCCUCCUGGCCUAAUACUGACGCUCAUGCACGAAAGCGUGGGGAGCAAACAGG